CACGUAGGGCGCAAGCGUUGUCCGGAAUCAUUGGGCGUAAAGAGCGCGUAGGCGGCCCGGUAAGUCCGCUGUAAAAGUCCAGGGCUCAACCCUGGAAAGCCGGUGGAUACUGUCGGGCUCGAGUCCGGAAGAGGCGAGUGGAAUUCCUGGUGUAGCGGUGGAAUGCGCAGAUAUCAGGAGGAACACCAAUGGCGAAGGCAGCUCGCUGGGACGGUACUGACGCUGAGGAGCGAAAGCGUGGGGAGCAAACAGG
rnacentral:rRNA from 1 species